rnacentral:rRNA from 1 species
CCUACGGGCGGCAGCAGUAGGGAAUAUUGGGCAAUGGGGGCAACCCUGACCCAGCCAUGCCGCGUGCCGGAUGAAGGCGCUCAGCGUUGUAAACGGCUUUUAUCUGGGAAGAACUGUAGGGAUGCGUCCUUACUUGCCGGUACCAGAGGAAUAAGCACCGGCUAACUCCGUGCCAGCAGCCGCGGUAAUACGGAGGGUGCGAGCGUUGUCCGGAUUUAUUGGGUUUAAAGGGUGCGUAGGUGGGUUCUUAAGUCUGGUUUGAAAGUCGGCGGCUU